CACGAGGGCGAUAUAGGAUAAGAAAUGUCAAUGCCAUAGCAGCUUUACUUAUAACAUGAAUGUCAAAUAUUAUUACAAGCUAUGGCCGCAUGAAGGGGCUGCAGGAUAAAUACCGGCGGCACCAGAACUGCUUAAAUAAUGAAACGGGCUUCAGGAGCGGUAUACAUAUUUGCAUGCAUGUUUAAAUUAGCCUCUACCACUUCUGCUGGGAGGCUGUUCCAUUUAUCUACCACUCAGGCAGUGAGGUAAAACUUUCUUAAAUUGCAUUUAAACCUCUAACCUAACUAUAAAUUUAUAGUUCAAUUAAGGAGCCAGCCCUGUAUGAUGUAUGCUUUACUAGGAGUCCAGCCUUGUAUGCUGUAUAGUUAAUCAGCAGCCUGCAGAGCUUUUUCCUUCUUCGUUUUGGUACGAGAAUGCAUAUUAAAUUAAUUCCAAAGUAGUUUGCCAGAGAGGGAAGUGUUAAUGUGUUUAACCAUUGCAUUGUGUAUUAUUUCUGUGUUAUCAGUAUUUGGCAUCGUGUGAUCUCCUUGAGCCGGACUGUUAUCGUUCCUGAUCGCUUGCGUUGCUGCAUUUUCCAAGAUGGCGGAUCCAAACAGGGUGUUCCAAGAUGGCCGGCGGCGACUGGGUGUUCCAAGAUGGCCGGCGGCGACUGGGUGUUCCUAGAUGGCCGACCGCAACUGGGUGUUCCAAGAUGGAGUGUGACGUUCCACAUGAACGAGGGAUUUAUGUGAUUUAUUCAUUUUCUUUUGCUCAUCGGGUCUGUGAGGUAAUAAUAAAAAGCUAAUUAAACA